rnacentral:tRNA from 1 species
GAGGCGUAGCGAACUGCGCACGGAGAAGCCCUCGUGAAGCAACGGAGGACCCGGGUUCGAUUCCCGGCACCUCCA